GCAGGCCUAACACAUGCAAGUCGAGCGGUAACAGAUCCAGCUUGCUGGAUGCUGACGAGCGGCGGACGGGUGAGUAAUGCAUAGGAAUCUGCCCGAUAGUGGGGGAUAACCUGGGGAAACCCAGGCUAAUACCGCAUACGUCCUACGGGAGAAAGGGGGCUUCGGCUCCCGCUAUCGGAUGAGCCUAUGUCGGAUUAGCUGGUUGGUGAGGUAAAGGCUCACCAAGGCGACGAUCCGUAGCUGGUCUGAGAGGAUGAUCAGCCACAUCGGGACUGAGACACGGCCCGAACUCCUACGGGAGGCAGCAGUGGGGAAUAUUGGACAAUGGGGGCAACCCUGAUCCAGCCAUGCCGCGUGUGUGAAGAAGGCCCUCGGGUUGUAAAGCACUUUCAGUGAGGAAGAACGCCUGGUGGUUAAUACCCAUCAGGAAAGACAUCACUCACAGAAGAAGCACCGGCUAACUCCGUGCCAGCAGCCGCGGUAAUACGGAGGGUGCGAGCGUUAAUCGGAAUUACUGGGCGUAAAGCGCGCGUAGGUGGCUUGAUAAGCCGGUUGUGAAAGCCCCGGGCUCAACCUGGGAACGGCAUCCGGAACUGUCAAGCUAGAGUGCAGGAGAGGAAGGUAGAAUUCCCGGUGUAGCGGUGAAAUGCGUAGAGAUCGGGAGGAAUACCAGUGGCGAAGGCGGCCUUCUGGACUGACACUGACACUGAGGUGCGAAAGCGUGGGUAGCAAACAGGAUUAGAUACCCUGGUAGUCCACGCCGUAAACGAUGUCGACCAGCCGUUGGGUGCCUAGCGCACUUUGUGGCGAAGUUAACGCGAUAAGUCGACCU
rnacentral:rRNA from 1 species